UCCCAGGAAAUAAUGUCUGUCUGAGUGUCGGU
rnacentral:rRNA from 1 species